AAGUCGUAACAAGGUCUCCGUUGGUGAACCAGCGGAGGGAUCAUUACUGAGUACUACACUCUCUACCCUUUGUGAACUAUUAUACCUGUUGCUUCGGCGGCGCCCGCAAGGGUGCCCGCCGGUCUCAUCAGAAUCUCUGUUUUCGAACCCGACGAUACUUCUGAGUGUUCUUAGCGAACUGUCAAAACUUUUAACAACGGAUCUCUUGGCUCCAGCAUCGAUGAAGAACGCAGCGAAACGCGAUAUGUAAUGUGAAUUGCAGAAUCCAGUGAAUCAUCGAAUCUUUGAACGCACAUGGCGCCUUCCAGUAUCCUGGGAGGCAUGCCUGUCCGAGCGUCGUUUCAACCCUCGAGCCCCUGUGGCCCGGCGUUGGGGAUCUGCCACGGCAGGCCCCUAAAACCAGUGGCGGACCCGAAGGGCCCUCUCCUUUGCGCAGUAGCAUUCGCCUCGCAUCGGGAGUCCUCGGCGUCCUGCCUCUAAACCCCCCACAAGCCCGCUUCGGCGGCACCAAGGUUGACCUCGGAUCAGGUAGGAAUACCCGCUGAACUUAA
rnacentral:rRNA from 1 species